UGCGUAGGCGGAUUAAUAAGUCAGUGGUGAAAUCUCUCGGCUCAACCGGGAAACUGCCAUUGAUACUGUUAAUCUUGAGUUCGGUUGAGGUAGGCGGAAUGUGUAAUGUAGCGGUGAAAUGCUUAGAUAUUACACAGAACACCAAUUGCGUAGGCAGCUUACUAGACCGACACUGACGCUGAGGCACGAAAGCGUGGGUAGCGAACAGGAUUAGAUACCUGGUAGUCC
rnacentral:rRNA from 1 species